CACGUAGGGGGCGAGCGGUGUCCGAAAUCAUUGGGCGUAAAGAGCUCGUAGGCGGCUCGGUAAGUCGGGUGUGAAACCCCCAGGCUCAACCUGGGGACGCCACCCGAUACUGCUGUGGCUAGAGUCCAGUAGGGGAGUGUGGAAUUCCCGGUGUAGCGGUGAAAUGCGCAGAUAUCGGGAGGAACACCAGCGGCGAAGGCGGCACUCUGGGCUGGAACUGACGCUGAGGAGCGAAAGCGUGGGUAGCAAACAGG
rnacentral:rRNA from 1 species